CCUACGGGGGACAGCAGUGAGGAAUAUUGGUCAAUGGACGAGAGUCUGAACCAGCCAAGUAGCGUGAAGGAUGACUGCCCUAUGGGUUGUAAACUUCUUUUAUAUGGGAAUAAAAUGUUCCACGUGUGGGAUUUUGUAUGUACCAUAUGAAUAAGGAUCGGCUAACUCCGUGCCAGCAGCCGCGGUAAUACGGAGGAUCCGAGCGUUAACCGGAUUUAUUGGGUUUAAAGGGAGCGUAGGUGGAUUGUUAAGUCAGUUGUGAAAGUUUGCGGCUCAACCGUAAAAUUGCAGUUGAAACUGGCAGUCUUGAGUACAGUAGAGGUGGGCGGAAUUCGUGGUGUAGCGGUGAAAUGCUUAGAUAUCACGAAGAACUCCGAUUGCGAAGGCAGUUCACUGGACUGCAACUGACACUGAGGCUCGAAAGUGUGGGUAUCAAACAGGAUUAGAUACCCCAGUAGUC
rnacentral:rRNA from 1 species